GCAUCCUUGGUGUAGCGAAAACACACAUCUUGGAAAUUACAUAUGUAUUGGGCAGCAUUUAAAUAAGAUGAGACCGGGGUUCAACUCCCCGAGGGCGCA